GUAAAGCUCUGUUGUUAGGGAAGAACAAGUACCGUUCGAAUAGGGCGGUACCUUGACGGUACCUAACCAGAAAGCCACGGCUAACUACGUGCCAGCAGCCGCGGUAAUACGUAGGUGGCAAGCGUUGUCCGGAAUUAUUGGGCGUAAAGCGCGCGCAGGCGGUCUUUUAAGUCUGAUGUGAAACGCCCACGGGCUCAACCGUGGAGGGUCAUUGGAAACUGGAGGACUUGAGUGCAGAAGAGGAGAGUGGAAUUCCACGUGUAGCGGUGAAAUGCGUAGAUAUGUGGAGGAACACCAGUGGCGAAGGCGGCUCUCUGGUCUGUAACUGACGCUGAGGCGCGAAAGCGUGGGGAGCAAACAGGAUUAGAUACCCUGGUAGUCCACGCCGUAAACGAUGAGUGCUAGGUGUUGGGGGGUUCCACCCUCAGUGCUGAAGUUAACACAUUAAGCACUCCGCCUGGGGAGUACGACCGCAAGGUUGAAACUCAAAGGAAUUUGACGGGGCGCCCGCACAAGCAGUGGAGCACUGUGGUUUUAAUUCGAAAGCAACGCGAAGGAACUUACCAGGUCUUUGANAUCCUCUGAA
rnacentral:rRNA from 1 species